UGAGCAACCUGCCCCUGACUCUGGGAUAAGCGCUGGAAACGGCGUCUAAUACUGGAUAUGUGACGUGAUCGCAUGGUCUGCGUCUGGAAAGAUUUUUCGGUUGGGGAUGGGCUCGCGGCCUAUCAGCUUGUUGGUGAGGUAAUGGCUCACCAAGGCGUCGACGGGUAGCCGGCCUGAGAGGGUGACCGGCCACACUGGGACUGAGACACGGCCCAGACUCCUACGGGAGGCAGCAGUGGGGAAUAUUGCACAAUGGGCGAAAGCCUGAUGCAGCAACGCCGCGUGAGGGAUGACGGCCUUCGGGUUGUAAACCUCUUUUAGCAGGGAAGAAGCGAAAGUGACGGUACCUGCAGAAAAAGCGCCGGCUAACUACGUGCCAGCAGCCGCGGUAAUACGUAGGGCGCAAGCGUUAUCCGGAAUUAUUGGGCGUAAAGAGCUCGUAGGCGGUUUGUCGCGUCUGCUGUGAAAUCCCGAGGCUCAACCUCGGGCCUGCAGUGGGUACGGGCAGACUAGAGUGCGGUAGGGGAGAUUGGAAUUCCUGGUGUAGCGGUGGAAUGCGCAGAUAUCAGGAGGAACACCGAUGGCGAAGGCAGAUCUCUGGGCCGUAACUGACGCUGAGGAGCGAAAGGGUGGGGAGCAAACAGGCUUAGAUACCCUGGUAGUCCACCCCGUAAACGUUGGGAACUAGUUGUGGGGUCCAUUCCACGGAUUCCGUGACGCAGCUAACGCAUUAAGUUCCCCGCCUGGGGAGUACGGCCGCAAGGCUAAAACUCAAAGGAAUUG
rnacentral:rRNA from 1 species